GUCCUGUGGAAUCCACUGGAGAGAACAGCUCAUCAUGUGUCUCUAUAAAAACCCAGUCGGCGUCUCUGUGGUCCCAGUUGAAAGCCAAGUACCAUGUUUGCUGUAGUUAAUUUCCUGAACGAAGAUGACAGUUUAGCUGUCAUCUAAAAAACCUGGUGCACCAAGGACAAAUGUUAUUGGCCUCCAUACAAGAGCCAAGAGAAGUUAAGGCAGUGACGUCGCAUGAACUGCCGGACAUUGAUACAUGGGAGGUGUAUUCAAUUCAAUUACUGAAGACAAAGAAUUUAUAUGAGAAAGCCCAUGAGUGCCUGGUUCGGGCUGAAAAAGGCUCAAGCCUGGAAACCGAGCCAGAGUCUCACCAAAGAAAGAGAAAGCGAAAUCCUAAAUGUGAUCAGACCGACUGAGGAGUCUGACACUGAUCAUAACCAGCGCCAAAGGCCCCAAAUUCACCAAAAAAGGGUUGAUUCCACACACACCAAAAUAUCUUCAAGACCCUCUUUGUUACUCUCUGUUGGGGGUCCUCAGUCCUCUUCGUCAAAGGGGCCAGCUGCUCACCAGUCUGAAGAAUCAUCAAGACCCUGUUCCCGUGCCUCUUCGUCAGAAGAUUUUCUGGCAACAGUCCACAGUAAUUUUAAGUAUUCCACUGUACACUUGUUACUGCAUACAGUCUAUUAGAAAAGCAAAGUAUGGCUACUACCAGCAGCAAUUCUGUAAAGAUACAUUUCAUUAAAAAUAAUAAGUAUUCUUAUUAGCUGCAUUCUUAGGUAGUUAUUUUGAAAAUUCUCAUCUCAAACAGCUCAAUCCUCCUCAUCACUGGGCCCUGCUGCUCGUCAGUCUGAAGGCUGAUUCUUCAGCACCUGAGAAAAUUGGCAGAGGAUGUCAGAGUUGCAAUACCAGACCACAGUAAACAGGAACCUCUUAAUGCAGCUGACCAAUGGGUCUCAUGGGGACAUGGUUCUGCCAGAGGACAUUGUGCUUCCUCUGAAGGACAGGCUGAUGCUGGAGGAGCUUGAACAUCGGCUUGCUGGGAAUGAGGAGCUUCAGGAGAAAUUGGUGAUGUUUUUGGCUGCUAAAGGGGGCAAGUCCGUCAAAGACUCAGUGAGGAGGAUGUUUGCCUGCCUUUUCUCCAAUGACCUGUCCAGGCUUUGUAACUGGACUGGCUUGGGACAUAAGAUCUCUUUCAGGCAGCUAGCUUUAAAAAGCAUUGUUCACAUAGCGAUAAGAAAGAACCCCUCUACAAAAGAGGCAACAGAGUCGCAACAUUUCUGAAGGGAGCUGCUGACAGAGAAGGGGGUAGGAAAGAAAGACGGGCCAAUUGAAGAGGCUCAAGAAACAAUUUUCUGUUUGUCUGUGUAUAUUGUAUUGUACAUACUCAUUAUUUUGUAGUCCAGGACAUUAUGUUCUGUAAUAAC